AACAGGCUUAGCUCCCCCAAGAGUCCACAUCGACGGGGAGGUUUGGCACCUCGAUGUCGGCUCAUCACAUCCUGGGGCUGUAGUAGGUCCCAAGGGUUGGGCUGUUCGCCCAUUAAAGUGGUACGCGAGCUGGGUUCAGAACGUCGUGAGACAGGUCGGUCCCUAUCCGUCGCAGGCGUAGGAAAUUUGAGAAGACCUGUCCUUAGUACGAGAGGACCGGGAUGGACGUACCUCUGGUGUACCAGUUGUUCUGCCAAGGGCAUGGCUGGGUAGCUAUGUACGGAAUGGAUAAGCGCUGAAAGCAUCUAAGCGCGAAGCCAACUUCAAGAUAAGAUUUCCCACCGCAAGGGUAAGACCCCAGAAAGACUAUCUGGUUGAUAGGUCGAAGGUGUAAGUGCAGCAAUGUAUUUAGCUUAUCGAUACUAAUAGGUCGAGGACUUGACCAAU
rnacentral:rRNA from 1 species